AUGAAUGUGAAAUCACGUUCAGAUCGGUUCACAGACAGUCUUACCGUAAUACCAAGUGUAUGCGCGGACCGCGAAAAUAUAGGGGCGGCUAGAUUGACCGCUCAUUUCUGGGUGGCGGCUGGCUUGACCGCAGUAAACCCAGACAGUGUCCGACUAGAGCCAACAGUGCAGAACACGCCGGAAGAACUGAUAGGAAAGCACAUCCUGAAGCUUUAGAUAAAGUUACAAUUACUUUAGCUUUCAACAUUAUCUUUAGCAAAAAUAAAUAUUCUCAAAGCCAUUGAUGUAGGCAAAGUUAUUUAAGUUGCAUGUUUAAAUAGACGGACAGUGGAAGAACAUACUGUAGAAACACUGUAAUAUAAUACACUGCUGUACAGAAGAGAGUAAAGAAAAGGCUGGAGCGCUGAUCUGUAGAAGUAACAGGUUAAAAACCUUAUCUAGUAUCUGAGCGUAUGAAUGUGUGCAGAAAGAGGAAGGGAUGGUGGUGCUGGCGCUCUGAUGUGCACGAUUAACAGGGUAAAAACCUUCUCGUCGUGUGCGGGCAUGAUGAUACCUGUGCUGUGUGUGGAAGUGGCAGAAUAAACUCUUCUCUAUAAGAUCAACAGAUAUCAAUUCUUUCUUAUUCCCUGAAUAAAGUAUUGACAUGGAAUACAAACACUGAAACUGAAACAAACUUAAAUGAAACCAAAGGGCCAUAAAACUGAACAGAUGAUGGUCUAGAAAGGGAAAAGCACGUUAAUAUUCUCUUAAUUCUGGUUUGAGCAAUAGUUCAGAUUGUACAUUACAAUACUUUAAUAUCUCUAUUGUUCGCCACAAUUCUAUUCAGUUUAUAAGCUGUCAGAAGAGACCAAAUGAUGUAGACAAAAAUCGCUCAUCUGAGAAAGCCUUAAAUUGUUGUAAAGAAAUUAAACAUUGGUUGGCAAAUAAUUUUUUACAAUUAGAUGAGAACAAAACUGAAGUCUCAGGCCUAUAGCUGUCCAGUUAUCAUUGAACGAACAAGAUCAUGUGAGGAAUCUCAGAGUGAGGAAUCUCUACUUUUCAAUAAGCAGAUCAUUUUCAUGAUUUUCAUUCUUAAUCUGGGUUUUCUUAACCCUAAUCUUCAGAUUUUUUCUUCUUUAUUCCUUUAUUCCUUCAUUCUGUAUAAUUUAUUGCAUUCUGUGCAGAGAGUCAAUCAUUUCAUUACAUGUCAUUCUGUGUUUGUUGUGUGUUUGGUGUGGAAUACACACAUCUGGCGUUAUUCCAAAACUUUCUGACUCCAAUCCAAGACCAUGUUGGUACAAACUCUCAGAAAUGCAGUUUAUCUGUUGGCUGUGAUCUUAGGAGGAGUUCCCUGAAUUUCCCCUCAUGCGUCCCUCGUGUUGCUUUAAAUGCUCAAGCUCUCAGAGCCGCAGACAGUGGAGAUUCCCUCCAGAGCUCAUCACGAAAUUAAUAGCAGAAGAUGGAUCAUCAGAAACUGCAGGAAUCAGAAAAUAAAGAGCAAAGAGGACGAGAUUCAUCUGAUGAAGUAGAGAAACAGAUCCUGACACAAGUUCGACGGAACAGCACUGAAAAAGGCAGGCCAAGCUUAGCCAUUGAUGAAGAUGAAAAAAAAGAAGAUGAAAAAGAAAAAGAAGAAGAUGAUGAUGAUGAUGAUGAUGAUGAUGAUGAUGAUGAUGAUGAUGAUGUAUAGUCAGCUAUGAGAAUUUAAAAAUGAACAGAUGAAUGAAGUGUAUAUUUAAAUUGCAGCUUUUGAAAUUUCAUAAAUGCACUAAUCAAUAUUGCAAUAUAGAUUAUUCUUUGAUUUAUUAUGCAGCCAAAGACUAAAGCUGUGUGACACAGCUUUAAAAACUCUCAGAGUUCAGUGUUUGAUCACAUCUGUACUGUUUUCAUAUUUAAAACACUUCUAUUUUCGAUUUCAUUUGAUUUGGUUUUGUAUAUUUUUAAAGAUAUUAAAUUAUUUAAUAGUACAGUAUUCAUUAGUGAAUGUACAUUAAUAAAAGUUAACAGUUCCGUUCUUUCUGGCAAUGAAUGUGUAUGAAAGUAUUUGAUAUUUGUAAAUAUAUUACAUGUUUUUCUGAAUUUUAUAGUUUUAUAGUAAUCGCUGAUGUCAUCACUGUGUCUCCGUUAGAGUUGUUUAAGAAUUUAUAAACUUGGUCAUUUUGAAGCUACAGAUCUUAAAUAUGAUGAUCUUCUUGUGAAGAAACACCUUCCUAAAAUAUAAUCAUCUGUGUUUGUGAAUAAAGAAAGUACAUUAUUUCUCUCUGAAAUCUGAGAUGUUCAACCUUUAGCAUCUUCUUGACACUGGACACCAGUUUGAAAACCUCUGCUUUAAGACAUUAUUUCUGUAAGAUGUUCUGAAGUGCUUCUGAUUUCAUUCCAAUCAUAAUAAAGAUGGAAGAAAACGACUGUCAUGAACUGUGAAAUUCUUGGACAAGAUCCGACAGAAACACAC